UAGACAGAGCAUCUGAGGCCGCUCCCUGA
rnacentral:piRNA from 1 species